rnacentral:rRNA from 1 species
UCCAGCCAUCCCGCGUGUGCGAUGAAGGCCUUCGGGUUGUAAAGCACUUUUGGCAGGAAAGAAACGGCCCUGGUUAAUACCUGGGGCAACUGACGGUACCUGCAGAAUAAGCACCGGCUAACUACGUGCCAGCAGCCGCGGUAAUACGUAGGGUGCAAGCGUUAAUCGGAAUUACUGGGCGUAAAGCGUGCGCAGGCGGUUCGGAAAGAAAGAUGUGAAAUCCCAGGGCUUAACCUUGGAACUGCAUUUUUAACUACCGGGCUAGAGUGUGUCAGAGGGAGGUGGAAUUCCGCGUGUAGCAGUGAAAUGCGUAGAGAUGCGGAGGAACACCGAUGGCGAAGGCAGCCUCCUGGGAUAACACUGACGCUCAUGCACGAAAGCGUGGGGAGCAAACAGGAUUAGAUACCCUGGUAGUCCACGCCCUAAACGAUGUCAACUAGCUGUUGGGGGCUUCGGCCCUUGGUAGCGCAGCUAACGCGUGAAGUUGACCGCCUGGGGAGUACGGUCGCAAGAUUAAAACUCAAAGGAAUUGACGGGGACCCGCACAAGCGGUGGAUGAUGUGGAUUAAUUCGAUGCAACGCGAAAAACCUUACCUACCCUUGACAUGUCUGGAAUGCCGAAGAGAUUUGGCAG